rnacentral:lncRNA from 1 species
GGUUUAUGGUGGUGAUUUAAGGCCAAGAGACAGACUCCAGGCUCAUCUAGUAACACUCAGGCUACUCCAGUUCAAAGGCAGCCACGUGACAGUUCCUGAACAUAUGGUUGUUGAAUAAAUGAAUGAAAAAUGAGAAAACCAGGAGCUCUGAUACUUAACCACAAUUACGUAUUUUUUAUUCUUAUGAACACUGAUGAAGUUCUCAACUCAUGUUACUGACUUACACUUAGUUAACUAUGGAAUAUUUGAGAUAAGUAAUUCCUUCUUUUUUUUUUUCCAGAUGCUGCUGAAUUUGAAUUGGGAUCGUAUGUAGUUCCUCAUCUAGGAACUAGUGAUGAGUCAAAUAUAAAUUAAGAUAUAGUUUGGAAAUAUUAAGAAAUAUGUAUUGAUUUUAACCAGAAAUAUAUGAUCUGAAAGACAGUAGAAUGUAAUUAUUGGUCUGUUUACCUGACAUUUUGCUUCCCAUUAUGUAUAUGACGUGAAAAUCUUUAUUAAAGGAAAGUAUUUUUGUAUC